GUCACAACAAAAUAUCUUAGUAUAUUAAAAGAUCAUAAGAACAUAAUUUAGGGGAAAAUUAAGAUAAGAACGAAAAUGAAACUACACCGUCCCAACUUAAAACAACCGCCAAUGCCGCCCUCUACUGGAGAAAAGCACAAAGACAGGCGAGCUGUGACAGCAGCUUCCGCUCAGUCGUGUAUUUAAUUUGAUAAAAGCAAACGGAUCAAUGCAUCGUCAGGACGUUUUUAGUCACUUUACUUUCACGCUGUACGAUGAUUUUUCAUGCCAUGAUUAUUGGCCGUAAUUACAUUAAUAUAUUCUAAUCAUAACAGGAAGGAAACGAUUCUGUUUCGCAGGUUUCAGCCACAUCAAACUGUGCAGGAAGCUGAGAGUGCGCGUGACGAGGCACCCCGGCGUCGGACGCAGUCAGUGCUGCGAGAUGCUGCUGCUGUGCUGGUCGCCUCUGCUGCUCUGCCUCUGCCUCCGCGCAGAGAACGUCGCCGUCAUCCGGGCACCGGGCGAGAACGUCACCCUGCGGUGCUCCCUGGACGGAUGCGCCCGCAGCGCCCACGGCUACGUCGGCAUGUACCUGUACAGGUACGCCGGCAGCCGGGAGGAGGUGCUGUACUACCACGGCGUGGACGGAGCGGACAAGGUCUCCGCGCGGGGCAGAUACACGCGCCGGGUCGAGAAGCAGGGAUCCCUGCGGAGCCACGGCAUCAGCAUCCGCGAGCUGACGGCGCGCGACUCCGGCGUCUACAGCUGCGUGUACAAGCAGACGCCGCAGGACGAGACCACGUGCAACGUGUACACGCUGGCAGUGAGCGACGCAGCUCCCUCUCCAGCGUCUCCCGAGCAUCCUCCCACGAACCCCCCCCACGGCGACACCCACGCGUGGCCGCCGCUGGCGCUGGUGACACCCGCCGCCGUCCUGCUCAGCGUGCUGCUGACCCUGCUCUUCGUCAAGGUCCUGGUCCCGUCGGUGAAACACUGGGCCAGCAGCAGCAGAAGGGCGAGAAGCGGCUCCUUGGACCCCAGCGAGUACGUGUAUGAGGUCAUGACUAAGAACGGCCUCCAGGCUGCGGCACCCAACCCGUACGACGCCGCUUAGCAAAAGUCCGCUUGUAUGAUAUGUUUUAAGGCGAAAUUCAAUCUAAAAUGCGUAAUAUAGAAAAUACAGGAGACCUCUUAAAGGAGCUGUGGAAUUGCAGACCUGCACAGUUCUGUUUGAAAAAGACAUGAAACGAUGGUUUUUGUGUGUCAGCAGGAAUCAUUGCACACAUGCACAUGGAAAAUGUAUGUAUGAAACAGAUGCAGUUUCCUUCAUCAGAUUGCAUUUUGUAAACUGAUAUCGCUGUAACCACAUGCCUGUUUGUGACGCGCGGUGGUUUUCUUUGGUUUUUAUUAGAAGCGACGUUGGUCGGUAAACGGCAGGAAGCGAAAUCUAAAGGAGAGUAAAUAACGCUUAAUAAGGUCAAAACAAAUAAUAUUUUGGGUUUCAUCGUGUUUGCUCUUGAGCCUUGUGUGUUUUGAAGGACAUAUUCACAGCUGACCAAAACUUCCUGGUCUUUGUUUCACACAGUCAAAACACCAGCAUCGGUGAAAUCUCUUAUCAUGUUUGUGUCGUCUCCUCAGUCCGUUGAACUGAUUGUCUGAACCACAGGCCUUUUACAACGCAGACAAGCCUGCAUCACAGGAAACACAGGCUGUGAACGCAGGCUUUACAGCAUCAACACAAAACACAGGAAACAUCAUCUUGGACUUGGAAUUUUGCUUUUAACAUCAUAAUAACCGCUCAUAAUAAAUGUAGUGGUAAAACGUGCUGUGCA
rnacentral:lncRNA from 1 species